rnacentral:rRNA from 1 species
ACGCUAGCGACAGGCUUAACACAUGCAAGUCGAGGGGCAGCACAGGUAGCAAUACCGGGUGGCGACCGGCGCACGGGUGAGUAACGCGUAUGCAACUUGCCUAUCAGAGGGGGAUAACCCGGCGAAAGUCGGACUAAUACCGCAUGAAGCAGGGGCCCCGCAUGGGGAUAUUUGCUAAAGAUUCAUCGCUAAUAGAUAGGCAUGCGUUCCAUUAGGCAGUUGGCGGGGUAACGGCCCACCAAACCGACGAUGGAUAGGGGUUCUGAGAGGAAGGUCCCCCACAUUGGUACUGAGACACGGACCAAACUCCUACGGGAGGCAGCAGUGAGGAAUAUUGGUCAAUGGGCGCGAGCCUGAACCAGCCAAGUCGCGUGAGGGAUGAAGGUUCUAUGGAUCGUAAACCUCUUUUAUAAGGGAAUAAAGUGCGGGACGUGUCCCGUUUUGUAUGUACCUUAUGAAUAAGGAUCGGCUAACUCCGUGCCAGCAGCCGCGGUAAUACGGAGGAUCCGAGCGUUAUCCGGAUUUAUUGGGUUUAAAGGGUGCGUAGGCGGCCUUUUAAGUCAGCGGUGAAAGUCUGUGGCUCAACCAUAGAAUUGCCGUUGAAACUGGGAGGCUUGAGUAUGUUUGAGGCAGGCGGAAUGCGUGGUGUAGCGGUGAAAUGCAUAGAUAUCACGCAGAACCCCGAUUGCGAAGGCAGCCUGCCAAGCCAUUACUGACGCUGAUGCACGAAAGCGUGGGGAUCAAACAGGAUUAGAUACCCUGGUAGUCCACGCAGUAAACGAUGAUCACUAGCUGUUUGCGAUACAUUGUAAGCGGCACAGCGAAAGCGUUAAGUGAUCCACCUGGGGAGUACGCCGGCAACGGUGAAACUCAAAGGAAUUGACGGGGGCCCGCACAAGCGGAGGAACAUGUGGUUUAAUUCGAUGAUACGCGAGGAACCUUACCCGGGUUUGAACGCAUUCGGACCGAGGUGGAAACACCCUUUCUAGCAAUAGCCGUUUGCGAGGUGCUGCAUGGUUGUCGUCAGCUCGUGCCGUGAGGUGUCGGCUUAAGUGCCAUAACGAGCGCAACCCUUGCCACUAGUUACUAACAGGUAAAGCUGAGGACUCUGGUGGGACUGCCAGCGUAAGCUGCGAGGAAGGCGGGGAUGACGUCAAAUCAGCACGGCCCUUACAUCCGGGGCGACACACGUGUUACAAUGGCGUGGACAAAGGGAAGCCACCUGGCGACAGGGAGCGAAUCCCCAAACCACGUCUCAGUUCGGAUCGGAGUCUGCAACCCGACUCCGUGAAGCUGGAUUCGCUAGUAAUCGCGCAUCAGCCAUGGCGCGGUGAAUACGUUCCCGGGCCUUGUACACACCGCCCGUCAAGCCAUGGGAGCCGGGGGUACCUGAAGUCCGUAACCGCGAGGAUCGGCCUAGGGUAAAACUGGUGACUGGGGCUAAGUC